GCCAGACUCCUACGGGAGGCAGCAGUGGGGAAUAUUGCACAAUGGGGGAAACCCUGAUGCAGCGACGCCGCGUGAGCGAUGAAGUAUUUCGGUAUGUAAAGCUCUAUCAGCAGGGAAGAAAAUGACGGUACCUGACUAAGAAGCCCCGACUAACUACGUGCCAGCAGCCGCGGUAAUACGUAGGGGGCAAGCGUUAUCCGGAUUUACUGGGUGUAAAGGGAGCGUAGACGGCGAUGCAAGUCUGAAGUGAAAGGCGGGGGCCCAACCCCCGGACUGCUUUGGAAACUGUAUAGCUGGAGUGCAGGAGAGGUAAGUGGAAUUCCUAGUGUAGCGGUGAAAUGCGUAGAUAUUAGGAGGAACACCAGUGGCGAAGGCGGCCUGCUGGACGAUGACUGACGCUGAGGCUCGAAAGCGUGGGGAGCAAACAGGAUUAGAUACCCGUGUACA
rnacentral:rRNA from 1 species